GAGCAUAGCGAGUGGAGUCAUGUUCCAGAAAAUGGCGUUUGAAGUUUGCUCGGUCGGAGCGGUUUCUCAAAAUCUUCUCAAGUUCGUUAAUGUUUCCUGUAAUUAACUGCCGACCAGUUUCAAGGUCAUGUUUUUGAACACCCGCGACUCGUGGUGGCAAGGGGAAAAGCAGCGUGGGAAAUUCAACACCGCUCUAGAGGGUGACCAUGUGUGGCUGGAGGCUGGGAAUGGGGAGUUCUCGGUGCCGGUGGGAGCCAAGGUCAAGUUGUCAGACACAGGUCAAGUACAAGUUCUGGACGAUGAAGGAAAGGAACACUGGAUCCCGGCCAGCAGUGCCAGUAAGCUGCGGGUCAUGCACCCCUCGUCUGUGGAGGGAGUGGAGGACAUGAUCCGACUGGGAGACCUGCACGAGGCAGGCAUACUCAGGAACCUGCUCGUCAGAUACAACGCAAACCAGAUAUAUACAUACACAGGGUCCAUCUUGGUGGCUGUAAACCCCUAUCAGGUCCUCCCCAUCUACACAGCCGAGCAGAUCCAACAGUACACCAACAAGAAGAUAGGAGAGCUGCCCCCUCACAUCUUCAGUAUCGCCGACAAUGCCUACUUCAACAUGCUGCGAGCCAAGCGGGACCAGUGUGUCAUUAUUAGUGGAGAAAGUGGGGCAGGGAAAACAGAGAGCACCAAACUCAUCCUACAGUUCCUGGCAGCCAUCAGUGGACAACACUCCUGGAUAGAACAGCAGAUUCUGGAGGCCAAUCCUGUCAUGGAAGCGUUUGGAAAUGCCAAAACCAUCCGGAAUGACAACUCCAGUCGGUUUGGGAAGUACAUUGACAUCCACUUCAACCAGAACGGUGCAAUAGAGGGGGCCAAGAUAGAACAGUACCUGUUGGAGAAAUCCAGGCUUUGUUACCAGCAAACUGAAGAGCGGAACUAUCACAUCUUCUACUGCAUGCUGGCAGGGCUGCCGGCUGAUGACAAGAGAAGACUGCACUUAACCAAGCCUCAGGACUACGCCUAUCUGACAAUGGGUGACUGCCUUGUUGCUGAUGGUCGAGAUGACGUGACAGACUUCGCAGCGAUCCGGUCGGCCAUGAAGGUGCUGAUGAUCUCUGACGCAGAGCAGUGGGAACUGUACAAGCUGCUGUCCUCCAUCCUGCAUCUCGGCAACCUGCAGUUUGAAAGUUCGUCCAUAGAUAACCUGGAUGCCUGUGAGUUGGUGGAUGCCACCGGCCUGUCCGAUUCUGCCAAACUCAUGGAGUUGAAUGAAGAGGACCUGCUGAAUGCCCUCACCACGCACACCCUCAUCACCCGGGGUGAGAGUGUCACUUCCCCGCUCAACGCUGACCAGGCCAGCGACGUACGCGACGCCUUCUGUAAGGGCACGUACGGCCGCAUGUUCGUCUGGCUCGUGGACAAGAUCAACAACGCCAUCUACCAGCCGCUGGAGAACCCCAAACACGUCCGCCUGUCCAUCGGCGUACUCGACAUCUUUGGGUUCGAAAACUUCGGAACCAACAGCUUUGAGCAGCUGUGCAUCAACUUUGCCAACGAGAACCUGCAACAGUUCUUUGUGAGACACAUCUUCAAGCUGGAACAGGCUGAGUAUGAUGCAGAGCACAUCAGCUGGCAGCACAUAGAGUUUGUGGAUAACCAGGAGUGUCUGGACAUGAUCGCUGUCAAACCCAUGAACAUCAUCGCUCUCAUCGAUGAAGAGAGCCGCUUCCCCAAGGGCUCAGACAAGACCAUGCUGCAGAAGCUACACAAGCAGCACGGCCGCAAUGCCCAGUUCAUCCAGGCCAAGUCGGACAUCAACGUCCACUUUGGUGUCGUCCACUUUGCUGGAGAUGUGUACUACGAUACCAGAGGUUUUCUGGAGAAGAACAGAGACAGGUUCCACGCCGACCUGCUGGACUUGGUUCAAACAUCCAACAACAAAUUCCUCAAGGGCUUGUUCCAAAAGGACAUUGUUAUGGGCACAGAGACGAGAAAGAAGUCUCCGACACUGGGAGCCCAGUUCAAGAAGUCUCUGGACCUGUUGAUGAGGACUCUGGGUGCCUGCCAGCCGUUCUUUGUACGGUGUAUCAAACCCAACGAGUUCAAGAAACCUAGUAUGUUUGAUCGUGAGCUGUGUGUGCGCCAGCUGCGUUACUCAGGCAUGAUGGAGACCAUCCGUAUCCGGCGCAUGGGCUACCCCAUCCGACACACCUUCGCACAGUUCGUAGACCGCUACCGUAUCCUGGUCAACGGCGUGGGCCCCUCCCACAAGACCGAGUGCAAGACUGCGUCGCAAAAUAUCGCCAAGGCCAUCCUAGGAGAUGCCGACUGGCAAAUCGGCAAGACAAAAAUCUUCCUGAAGGAUGAGCACGAUGCCAUGCUGGAGAUAGAACGUGACCACGCUCUGACUCGGCGGGUGGUCCUGAUCCAGAAGAUGGUGCGAGGAUGGUUCUACCGCAGACGCUUCCUCAAGAUGAAGUCAGGGGCACUUAAGAUCCAGACAGCCUGGAGGGGACACAGGGAGAGGAAGAGAUACCAUGCUAUGAAGAUUGGAUACGCCCGUCUGCAGGCUCUGUUCCGAGCGCGCAUCCUGUCGUACCACUACAACUUCCUGCGCAAGAGGAUCGUGGGAUUCCAGGCCCGCUGCCGAGGCUACACGGCGAGGAAGGACUUCUCCAAGCGGAUGCACAGCAUCGUCAAGAUCCAGUCAGGCUUCCGCGGAUACAUCGCGCGCAAACAGUACCAGAAGCUGAAAAUCGAGAACAAGCGUCGUAUGGAGGCUGAGCGACUGAGGUUGGAGGAGGAGGCACGUCUCCGACAACAGAUGGGCGCAAAGAAAGCCAAAGAGGAGGCAGAGAAACGUCACCAGCAACGCCUGAGGCAGAUGGAGUAUGAAAGCCUUGAAAAUGAACGUCAGAAGAAGUAUGAGAUGGCGAAGAAGAAGGACAUGAUAGAGAAUGCGGAGAAGAGGAAGGACCAUCCCGUGGACGACUCACAGAUGGUGGACGAAGUCUUCAACUUCCUGCCGGAAACAAACGCAGAGUCAGGCCCUGCCCCAACCGCAUUCAGGGACCUGGAAGAAAAGAGAACGAGAGAUCUGAAGAAAGAAGAGGUAGACGACACCAUGCACCUGCCUGUACCCAAGGAUGAAGAGGACAUCUCAGAGUACAAGUUCUCCAAAUACGCUGCUACGUACUUCCAGGGGAGCACCACGCACUCUUACGUACGCCGGCCGCUCAAGGCACCGCUCCUCCCACACGACAAUGAGGGAGACAUGCUGGCUGCCCUAGCAGUGUGGAUCACCAUCCUGAGGUUCAUGGGAGAUCUGCCCGAGCCCAAGUGGAUGACGUCCAACUCGGAGGCCCAGGACAACACCCCGGUCAUGACCAAGAUCUACGAGACUCUGGGGAAGAAGUCAGGACUGUACAAGAAGGAACUACAGGACAUUCAGAUGGGCAUCGACCCUAACGUUCCUGACAGGUACAAGAAGGGAAGUGUGAAGAAGAAGCUGGUGUCCAUGACCUUGAAGAAGAAGUCUAAGAUCACAGACGAGGUGCGUGACCGGCUGGCUGAGGGUGACGUGGCAGCGUACAGUAACAGCAUGCUGGAGGACCGCCCCACCUCCAACCUGGAGAAACUACACUUCAUCAUCGGGCAUGGCAUCCUCCGGCCCAACCUCAGAGAUGAGAUCUACUGUCAGAUCUGUAAACAGCUGACCCAGAACCCCUCCAAGAGUAGUCACGCCCGCGGCUGGAUCCUUCUGUCUCUCUGUAUCGGCUGCUUCGCUCCAUCAGAGAAGUUUGUGAAGUAUCUUCAGUGCUUCAUUAAGGAAGGCCCGCCUGGCUACGCUCCGUACUGUGAGGAGAGGAUGAAGAGAACGUUUGUUAACGGCACCAGGAACCAGCCGCCCAGCUGGCUGGAGCUACAGGCCACAAAGUCCAAGAAGCCCCUGAUGUUGCCAAUCACGUUCAUGGAUGGUACGACCAAAACCCUCCUGGCAGAUUCCGCCACCACGGCGCGGGAACUCUGUCAGAUGCUGUCGGAGAAAAUUGGGCUGUCAGACCAGUUUGGGUUCUCAUUGUACAUCGCCCUCUUUGAUAAGGUUUCGUCACUGGGUAGUGGUAGCGACCACGUGAUGGACGCCAUCUCUCAGUGCGAGCAGUACGCCAAGGAACAGGGCGCGCAGGAGAGGAACGCUCCCUGGAGACUCUUCUUCCGCAAGGAGAUCUUCGCGCCCUGGCACGACCCCACCGAGGACAGGGUGGCCACCAACCUCAUCUACCAGCAGGUGGUACGAGGGGUCAAGUUCGGCGAGUACAGGUGUGACAAGGAUGAUGACCUGGGAGAGAUCGCAGCCCAGCAGUACUACGUUGACUACGGACCCAACAUGGACUACAACAGGCUACAAGGUCUGGUGCCAUCAUACAUCCCUGACUUCUGCAUGAGAGGGCAGAAAAACACAGACUACUGGGCUCAACUGGUGGCUAAUGCACACAGAAAGAGCUACUAUGUGAAGGACAACGUGGAUCCAAUCCGAGUCAAGGAAGACGUCGUCAGCUACGCCAAGUUCAAGUGGCCGCUGCUGUUCUCGCGGUUCUACGAGGCGUACAAGUUCUCCGGGCCGAGCCUGCCGAAGAACGACGUGAUCAUCGCGGUCAACUGGACGGGCGUGUACAUCGUGGACGAUCAGGAGCAGGUCCUGCUGGAGCUGUCCUUCCCAGAAAUCACUGCUGUAUCCAGCAGCAGGACUGGUAAGAUCCAUGGUCAGAGCUUCACCCUGUCCACAGUGAAGGGAGAUGAGUACACCUUCACCUCUGCCAACGCUGAGGACAUCAGGGAGCUGGUGGUCUGCUUCCUGGAGGGACUCAAGAAGAAGUCCAAAUAUGUCAUCGCCCUGCAGGACAGUCCCACACCAGCUGCGGACAGCUCGUCCUUCCUGGCCUUUAAGAAGGGCGACCUGAUUGUUCUGGACCAGGACAGCGGUGACACAGUCAUGAACUCAGGCUGGUGUUACGGACAGAACGACAGGACGGGGCAGCGCGGGGACUUCCCCGCCGAGUGUGUGUACGUGGUGCCGACAGUCACCAAACCUGCACCAGACAUUCUGCAACUGUUCACCAUGUCAGAGAAGGAGAUCAGUGAACUGCGCACGUCUCAGGCAGCCAUCGAGACAGAAGAACCACCCGAGAAGCCAUACACACUGGAGGAGUUCUCCAUCGACCACUUCAGACCGCCCCCCAAGCGUACCCUGACGCGUGCGCUGAAGAGCAGACAGAAGGACGAGCUGUGGAGCUACACCAAGGAACCCAUCAAACAGCCGCUGCUCAAGAGGCUGCUGCCCAACGAUGAGCUCAGCCAGGAGGCCACCAUGUGCUUCAUGUCCAUUAUGAAGUACAUGGGAGAUUACCCCUCCAAGAGAAGUCGGCAUGGCAACGAACUGACGGACCAGAUAUUUGAACCUCCUCUCAAGAAUGAAACAUUGAGAGACGAGAUCUACUGCCAGGUGAUCAAACAGCUGACAGAGAACCGUGUGCGUGCGAGCGAGGAGCGCGGCUGGGAGCUGAUGUGGCUGUGUUCCGGCUGCUUCGCCUGCAGUCAGUCCCUCCUGCCGCACGUCACGCAGUUCCUACGCACCCGCAGGAGGAACGCGCUGGCCGUGGACUGCCUGCAGAGGCUGCAGAAGACGCUCCGGAAUGGACAGAGGAAGUACCCUCCCCACCUGGUAGAAGUGGAGGCCAUCCAGCACAAAACAACUCAGAUCUUCCACAAGGUCUACUUCCCAGACGACAGCGAUGAGGCUUUUGAGGUGGACUCAGGUACGAGGGCGAAGGACUUCUGUGAAAACAUCGCCAGCAGGCUGAGGCUCAAGUCGCCUGAGGGAUUCAGCUUGUUUGUGAAGAUUGCAGACAAAGUCAUCAGUGUUCCAGAGGGAGACUUUUUCUUUGACUUUGUGCGGCAUCUGACAGACUGGAUUAGGAAAGCACGACCCACCAAAGAUGGUUCUAUGCCCCAGCUGACCUACCAAGUGUUCUUUAUGAAGAAACUGUGGACCAACACAGUCCCAGGGAAGGACCCCAACGCAGACUCCAUAUUCCACUACCACCAGGAGCUACCCAAGCUGCUGCGAGGCUACCACAAGUGUUCCAAGGACGAAGCCAUCAGCCUGGCCGCUUUGCAGUACCGUGUACGCUUCGGGGACGACAAGUCCGAGUUUAUCAACAUCCCGAAGAUGCUGAGAGAACUGGCCCCCCAGGACUUGUUAAGGAGCAUGUCCCCUGAUGACUGGAAAAGGCAAAUCGUUGCUGCCUACAACAAGCAUGCAGGCAAGUCCAGGGAAGACGCCAAGCUGUCCUUCCUGAAGAUCAUCUACAGGUGGUCCACUUUUGGCUCCGCCUUCUUCGAGGUCAAGCAAACUACAGAACCCAACUACCCAGAGAUCCUUCUGAUCGCCAUUAACAAACACGGGGUCAGCCUGAUUGACCCUAAGACGAAGGAAAGCCUGGUGACACACCCUUCACCAAGAUCUCCAACUGGAGCAGCGGCAACACGUACUUCCACAUGACCAUCGGAAACCUGGUGCGGGGCAGCAAGCUGUUGUGUGAGACUUCACUGGGUUACAAGAUGGAUGACCUUUUGACCUCUUACAUCAGCCUGAUGCUCACCACCAUGAACAGACAGCGCAGGGACAGCAGAAGGUGAAAGGUUAAAGUUCAAAGAGCACCUUUAAAUUUACAGUACAGUCCAAAGUGUAGCAGACAUUAGACCUCUUCAUUUAUCACAGUAGCAGACUGAGAGGAGGCAAGCAGAUGCCCCUGUUCUUGGAAUCAAUCUAGACCAAAGUUAAUGUUUCUUGUCAGCCUAUCUUCACCAUAGCUUUGGGUGACUUCAACAAAUCCUUCAUCACAGCAAAUACUGUCAAAUAUAUCUUUUUGAUUUCAUAAAUGGUUUUGUAAACAUUGUGUUUAAGAUUGAACUUACACUAUUCUUCCUCAUAUUUGAAUGGUUUUAUGGAAAGAUAACUUCUUUGAUCAGCAGUCUAAAUCAAUAUCUAAUAGAAUUUAUUUUACCCGAUUAUUUCUUGGCUUUCCUGUACUAUAGAAUGGAUUGUCCGUACUAUUUGUAUAGUGUUAUACUAGAUUGUUGUUUGUGAGUUGAUAAUGGACAUGAUUGUCAAAUGCAGUGCUUUUAAUUUUCUCCAUUGAAAAAGACCUACCAGUUGAAUGAAUGGUCAGGAAGAGAUCUGUAUAUUUUGAGCUUUGAAAUGUUCUUGAUUCACAUACCGGUAUUCCUGUUUCUAAGUGGAUAAUACAAGAUACUAAACAACACCAUCUAUUCAGUGUUACCUUCUUAACUUUAUCAUGUUGUCAUUUUGAAAUCAGUCUCUUCUGUCACACUGUUAUGACUUAAGGGAUUUUCAUCUUUUGGGAAAGGUGUAAUAUUUCAGUGAUUACAAAAUAUUCCAUAAGUUCUUAAAUACCAUCUCACCACUUUACAAAGUACUGAAUUAAAACAGUCUUGGCAAGACUGAGACCUUGUUGGACAAUAAAUGAAAAAUACUUCCUUCUGCACUGUUCUUUUAGUGUUAAGAAACCAACUUACAAAAUGUAUGAUGAUACCUUCCACUAUACACUACCUAUGCAACCUUACAUACAAUGUCAAGUGGCUAAAAACUAUGAAAGUACAAGUACAAGUGUAACAAUCUUUAUCUGGGGAAUGAUGAUUAACAACUUACGAUAAUAAGGUCUAUUUGUAAAAGCUUUGCUGGAUAAGAAAUUAUGUUCAGCAUGUAAGCAGUCCCAACUACCAGGCAGGUUUUUAAGCGAUAAAUUGCUGGUGUAAACUAUGUGAAAAUUUGUGGUGUAAUGAUUUUUUUGAUCAUAGUAAAAAUCAAGCAAGACUGUAAUUUUUUCCAUGCACAUGUAGGAAGAACUAGAGGCAGGUAUGGAUUCAUGUGAAGAAAUACAUAAUGUGCAUAAAAUAUAACAUUGUUAUUAUUAAUAUUAAAGCGUUGAUGACAAAAGUAGCUGCUAUUGAUACUAUUUUCACAAUGUAUAGUUUUAGGCGCACCUAAUUAAUUUACCGAUAGCUUUUCCAAUUCAAAGAAUACAUUAAUUUUGAUUAUAAUGUCUAUUUAAGAAAUAGGUUUAGAUAACUUAGUAAGGUGCUAUUUCUAUAUCUGCAGUUUUGAAUUUGAUAUAGAAAAAAGAUGAUAGUACAGAACAUACAAUAGUGUGUUGAACAUAGUACAUGUAUCUUGUCUGAUUUGGUGGUGUUUCUUGUAUCUAUAUAAAGUAUGAAAAGUUCAAUGUACUUCAUGUUUUGUCUUAAUCUACACAGAAAAGUAUGGAAAAGUAGAACGUCAAUGCCCAAAUAGACAGGUAAUAUGCCAAACCGUACUCAUCUAGUGGACCAACUCCCCUGCUAUGUUAUAUGUCUAUUUGGCCAAUUUCUACUCAUUCCAGUUGCUCCCUAAAGCCUGGUAGAGGCUACACACAAGGUACCAAAAAAAUGUAAUUUCAUUUAUGUGUGCAGACAACUGUAUGUUACUGUUGCUUGGAACAUGAAGGCAAGCAAUGAUCAUAAAAUCAACCUAAAUUACCCAUGUUUGCUUUCUAGUAGCAUAGGAAAACUCUGCUGUUAAUGAAGAAUACAUGUAAGUGGGUGUAAAAUCUGAUAUAAAUUGUAACUUAAGCUACAUGUAUGGUACUUACUGUAGUAAUAAAUUGACUAUCCUUACAUUGAUUCGAGCGACGCAUGUAUGCUUAGUUGUCCUGGGUACAUUUCUGUUGAGUCGACACACAGGUCUCAAUAAAUACUGCAUCAUGGA